GCCCCCGUAGCCCAACCGGCAGAGGCAGGCGACUUAAAAUCGCUGGGUUGCGAGUUCGAGUCUCGUCGGGGGCA
rnacentral:tRNA from 2 species